UCAGAACCCUGACAUCAAGACCUGAGCUGUGAUCAAGAGUCAGAUGAUUAACCAACUGAACCGCCCAGGCACCCUACAAUAAAAACAAACUUAUGAAGAUGCUGGUUACUUUACCCAAGAUUUCAGCAUCACAGGGGAAAUUACUGUCUCUGAAGCCGGCCCUGAUCCUCAGGUUCUUAGUUCUGGAUGCUACUAAUGGAUCAGAUGUGGCAGCCUCCUUAUUCCUCGAGGGCCACUAGAGAAACGGAACGUUCCUCUGAGGCAAGGGCCGGGGAUUCGAGGCGAAAAGAAAAAGAUGAAAACACGUAAGAAGGAUGGAAAUGGGGAAAGGGGUGAGUGAGAAGACAAUACAGCAGUAAAAUAGUGUGUGAGGGGAAGUCGGGUAUUGAGUCCUGCAUUUCAGAUCCCGGAAAGCCUGGAGCAUCACUAGAAAAGAGGAAAAGCCUUUUCUAUACCUCCACACCCUUGGCACAGCCCCUUGUUACAGCUUACUCCUUCAAGGCACAGGCCAGUUUACACCAACAUUUCAUUAAGUCAUAGGUUCAUUCCAGCAGAGCUCUAACAAUCCCUACCAGGUUGUUAACAUAUGCAAGUUCAACGUCACAGUCAGGCUGGAUUUUCGAGGUUUUCUAUAAAGGAUCUCCCUUAGUAUUGCAGACCAUCCGCCAUGUUAGUUCCCCAGUCUGGCUGGUGCCACCAUGUAUUAUCGCACAAGAUCCUGGGUUCUUUCCAACCCUAGACUUUGGGUUUUAGCUCAUCUUUGAGAGAUUGCACGUCAGUUGCCUCUAAAUUAAAAAUAGUAAUGGAUAUCCUACUCUAUAUUCACUUUCGGAACCUUUCAGCCCACAUACUAUCCAGCCCAAUUUAAUUUCUGUAACUUCUGUGAUUCCCAGGAUUGGGUUCAAUGGCCAUUUCUCUGAUACCACAGCAUGCUCUACAGGUCCAUGCCCUGGAGCUCACCUCCCACACUCUUAUGAGGCUCCUCCCCACUAGAAGGGAAACUUCUCAAGGGUGGGAAGAAUGCUGUAGAAUCCUCAGUGCCUGAUACAGUGCCUAGCACAUAGUUAGUGCUCCGUAAAUAAUGUGGAACAAAUGAAAGUUAUUCACCAGUGCAAAUGACAGAAUCACAUCAUAGGAGCCAGGGCAGCUAAUUAGGUUCUUUAUAUAACAACAUUUUGUGUCCGUGGAGAGUGGAGAAAUUCCGACUGCACAUCAUUUUUCCUUAAAGCAAGGCUCAGCGAUUGGGAUAUGCAUCACUGAAAUCAUAUUUUGUGCCAAUCUACUUCAGAUUUACUGAUAGGUUUAAAACAAUAGGUGUAUUUUGGACAAUGAUUGAGUGCUACAAUCAUAGCUUUGCUGUUUUCAAUGUACAAUUUCUUCUUUAGCAUCUGCUAUUUCUUUCCUCUUUCCAUUCUUCACAACCAUCAAGAAACAUUUAUCCGCGAAUGUCAAGUGCCUUAUAUUAUGGUUUCCUGUGCCUUCCUAAGUUGCUUGUUUUCUUACAUCUCUUUCAAGUGAGUAACCAGCAGAGUUGGGACAGCUCCCCACAUAAAUUUCCAUGAGGUCGAGGAUCUAGUCCAUGGCUAAUGUUUCCUCACCAUGGUAAGCUAUAAAAUGUUCAGGGGCCCCUCCAGGUCAAAUGGUUGUCCUGCAGGGCAUUAGGAACUUGUGCACAAUCUCAUUUUCUUCUCGUGACAUAGCAUGACACAAACUGUUCUUUUUUGAGCGACGAAGCCUCUAUUUUCGAUCUGGCUACGUUCUUGCAUACAAAUCCCUUAUAAAUUAUUUUUCAAAUUCUGAGGUUCACUAAUUCAAUUAAAUCCAUUCUUAAUUUUUAAUUAAAUCUGCAUUU